GUCUGUUUCUCUUUCUCUCUCAUGGUGUGUGUGUAUGUGUGUGUGUGUGUGUGUGUGUGUGUGAUUCAGCUGAUUAGAUUGUAAUCAACAUCAUAUGGAAAUCUACACUAUCAUAGUCAAUUAAGGAGGAAAGAGAAGACAACAGAGACAAAGGCACUGAGGAGUCCUUGGACGUGUUUCCUGUGGAGAAAGGAUCCUUGAGGAGGCAUUGUUUGCUCUUGCUUGCCUGCCAUUUUACCUCAUGCAUCUAAUCAAAAUUGGACAUCGGAAAAUGGAAGCUCACCACAGUCCACAGGAGACAAAGCCCUUGAUUCAUGGUGUAGAAAUGUCAAGGUGUUAUUGGUUGCUAUCUAUAAUUUGCCUCUUUGAGCCUACUAACAGGAAGACCUCUGGAACUCAUUGAGGUUGGCAUCUUGAAUGGUUCUUUGUCAGUGUACCGGACGACUUUGGAAACAUCACUGCCAAUCUGUUAGAAGUUGUCUAAUUCCUCUGAAAAUACCUGUGUCUACACAACAUCAUUUGGGUUUCUCCCAACAGAGAAAAUAUAUGCUAUGCAGAAAAAAGAAAACCAUUCUGCAACCUCUGUGUUCCUUUCAUUAAAGAUUCGAUCUUUUUCUUCAUAUAAUGGCUCCCCCCUGAGCAAUAAAACAAUCCACAGUUUCAAGGCUUUUUGUACCACUUCUCUUCCCUGCCUUCCCAGAAGUCCUAGAGAUAAUUGUCAUGUACAGGAAGAGCAAGGUUUCUUUGCUACAUUUUUAAGCUGUGUUACUUAAAUUAGUUAAUUUAUGAUAAUAAAAUUUCUGAUGAAAUUAAAGUUA